UACGAAGGGUGCAAGCGUUAAUCGGAAUUACUGGGCGUAAAGGGUGCGUAGGCGGUUCGUUAAGUCUGUCGUGAAAUCCCCGGGCUCAACCUGGGAAUGGCGAUGGAUACUGGGCAGCUAGAGUGUGUCAGAGGAUGGUGGAAUUCCCGGUGUAGCGGUGAAGUGCGUAGAGAUCGGGAGGAACAUCAGUGGCGAAGGCGGCCAUCUGGGACAACACUGACGCUGAAGCACGAAAGCGUGGGGAGCGAACAGG
rnacentral:rRNA from 1 species